rnacentral:rRNA from 1 species
AAUGAACGCUGGCGGCGUGCUUAACACAUGCAAGUCGAACGAGGCGGAGGGGGCAACCCUCCAGUCGAGUGGCGGACGGGUGAGUAACACGUGGGUAACCUGCCCGGAAGUGGGGAACACCUCGGGGAAACUCGAGCUAAUACCGCAUGACAUCUUCGGGACGAAAGUCCUGACGAUCAAAGCGGGGCGCAAGGCCUCGCGCUUCCGGAUGGGCCCGCGCCCGAUUAGCUAGUUGGCGAGGUAACGGCUCACCAAGGCUUCGAUCGGUAACCGGCCUGAGAGGGCGAUCGGUCACACCGGAACUGAGACACGGUCCGGACUCCUACGGGAGGCAGCAGUGGGGAAUCUUGCGCAAUGGGCGAAAGCC